rnacentral:hammerhead_ribozyme from 1 species
ACACUGCCGAGGAGUCGCAUACUAGGACGAAACGGCCGUCCAGUAC